rnacentral:lncRNA from 1 species
AUGGGCAUGGGGCUGUGCCAACGGUCCUGCUUGCUCCCACUCAGACCUGCCCUGGGGGCAGGGAGGGAGUUGGUACGGACGGAAAGGGGCUUGUCUGCCCUCCUUCAGCCCGGUGCACAGAGCAGGGCUGGCGGGAGCCCGAGGCAGCCCGGCCCGCACGGAGCGUCCCCGGGGCUCCCACCGCAGCCUCCUCCUCCCCUGCAGCCACUGCCACUUUCGCUUUCCUUUCCCCGGGCCAUGGCCCAGCGCUGCACAGGGCCCGAUGCGAGGGCGCUCAGGGGCCCCCAUGCUGCAGCCACCGGCCCAGGGGCUCCCAGUGAUGGGGUGGGGGCUGGGCAGAGCGGGGGGGACUACGGGUUCUUCUCGUGGCUUUUCCGAGGCAACGAUGAGCAGGAGGCAGCACCCCCGCAGCACCAGGACGGGGCAGUGGCUGGUGUCUGCCCUACAACGGUGGCGCAGGAGAUCCGGGAGAAAGUGGACGCGCUGCAAGCGCAGCUGCAGGAGCUGAAGGACUCCUCGGACCCGCUGGUACUGGAGCUCCUCCGUGCCUUCGAAGCGCCCAUGGGCAUUGCCAUCCGCCUGCUCGCCGAGAAUCAGAGGCUGCGGCAGAAGCUGGAGGAAGAAGCCAGCCCACCAGCACCCCUCUUCCCGAAGCACUCCCCAGCACCCCUCUGCCCCAGCCCGCAGCUCAGAGUGCUGCCCCUGCAGAUCCGCGCGACCGGCCGGACGGGCGGCUCCGAGAGGCAGUUCCUGGCCCAGCUGUGCCAGCACCUCGAGCCCCGGGGUAUCCAGCUGCUGGAGGAGGCGUUCAACCAGCGCUCCCACUGCCUCCUGCUGCUCUUCUGCCCCAUCUCGUCCCGUGUGGGCACCGACAUCAGCAACGCCCUGCACGGCCUCCCGGACACGAGGCAGGCCAUCCUCAUCGUGCUGCACCACCGGCCCAGCGAGUCCAGCCAGCUCUAUGCCAGCAGCAAGCGGGAGGCUCAGCACCCCAGCCUGCUAGACACUGUGGACUGCUGCUUCUCCAUCGUCUCAGGCCUCUACCCCUGCUGGGCCAACACCAAAGCCAUAAACUCCGUGGUGGCCACGCUUCAGCGACUGAGCGGGAGCAGACCCUAGGGAGCAGGGCACGGAGGAGCUGCCACAGGAAGCGACACUGGACCAGACAUUCAAGUCUAUAAAA